UGAAUAAAUUAUUGUUAGAGAAAUAUAUGGUAACAUAUUGUUAGUUUAAGGUAAGACCAAAAAAUAAUGAAUUGAAUAAAAGGGUCCAAACAACUUUGAUAGGUAGAUUUUUUAAGACUCCUUUCCUUUUAAUAGUAUUGAUAUUAUAUGAUGUCAGAAAUAAAAAUAAAAAUAAAAAUAAAUUCUUAUGUAUGUAUCGAGGCAUCCCAUAUACGAGAUAUGGACAACGUGUUUCCAGAUACCAUGCUUACUUGAUCUUUUGACCCAUUUAACAAAAACAUUUUAAAUUCUUCCGCAAACUAGUGCUAAUGCUUACUUGACGACCUUGACCCAUACUUAAUUUUCAAUUUAUCAACUGACCUUGACUCAUUCAACAAAUAUUAAAUGUUAUUCGAAUACUAUGCUUACGCGUUCCCUGAUUUAAAAAUAAGACACACACAAAGGAGUCAACAAUGAAGACAUGAGAAAAAUGGACCUGACUUUCAUACACAAUAAUCAGGGUGUCCAUAGAGAAAACACUACUACCUCCGUUACAUAAAAUCAAUUUUGAAAUUAAUACUAAGGUAAAAGUAAGUAUAACUAUAAACUGUUUUGGAAUUCUAAAAUGAUAUAUUUAUGUAACAAGAAAAAAAUGCUAAAGUGACACAUUUAAGAAACAGAAGUAUCUUUUUUUUUUGUAGUUGUGAUUUGCUUUGUAUAUUACAUAUAUCUAACUUUUCAAUUUUCUUUGUUUAGAAAAAAUAUUAAUAUCCGAAAAUCCGGAUAUCCGAAAAUAUGUAAAUAUUUGCAUAUACUGACGAAUAUCUGUAGAUAUCUCACAUUCUUUGUUUAACACAAAUAACGUAGAAAAAAAUAAUACACUGUUGUUCUUAAAAAUAUUUUCGUAAUAUGUUUCAUAAUUUAAAACUAGUUAAAAAGACGAAAAUUAAGAAAAACUUAUAGUCGUCAUAAAGAUUUGAUUUUUCUUUCUUAAUUUAUUAUUUUAUAAAUAAAAAUAUGAAUAAAAUUUAUCAAAUGAUAUGUUAAAAUAAUAAUUAUAUAAACUCUACAUUUAGUCUAGAUAUACAUGUCUCAUAUAUCUAUCGGAGCACGGAGGAUAUCCGUCUUUUAAAAGUUUGGUACUUGUAAUUUAUUUCAUUUUAACGGAUACUAGUUUCAUUUUAUUUUAUUUUUUUAUUUUUUUUUUGAAAAAAGAGCUAGUUUUAUUUUAUUUUUUACUACAAGAAGUACGGACAUCAGAAAAUUUUAGAUUAAAUCGAAAUGAAUAACAUAUCAAAUCAAAUUUAAGUGAUAAAAUGUCAGGCUUAACAAUAAUAUGUCCCCACAGGAAAACUUUGGCGUUUAGAUAUAAAAACAAAAGAAAAUUAUCAAAAAAAAGAGCAAAUUAGCUCAAUAUACUCAAAAGAGUGGGAUACCAUUGAAUUGGGGGAAAAUGGUAGUGAUGGGGGGAAAAAAAUUGAAGGAAAAUAGGGUAUGGGGUGCAAAUAGAGGAGAAGUUGUGUAUAGGGAGUACAAAUACUCAAAAAAUAUUCUCAAAAAAAGCAUUCUUAAAAAAAUAUUAGAAAAAUCUUAGCUGAGGAAACGAACACUGGGGGAGACAAUGGCAGAAAGCCCAUAAAAUAUCUCAAUAAUUUUAAAUUAAACUGGACCGGCCACCUAACCUAACAAACUUUUGGGUUGCAUAUGAAUGUGGUCGCAUCAGGAUGUUGCUUUAAGCAUUCCCCGGUUUUCAUGCCCCCAUGCACUUGUAUCCUAUUCAUAUAUCUGAUGUUUGAUGUUUCCAGACAUGUUUCAAGACAUGCACGCAUGAGAUCAUGUUGAUAGAGGCAGAAGGAAUUGCAAUGAUAAGGACAUUUUUCACUCCACAAGACUGUCCCUCGUACUUCUGAUGUGGAAAUGGGUAAAUUACUGAAAAUAAAUAUCAUAUCAGCCGUAACCUAUUCGGUUUUUAAUGUGGCUGUCCCACACUCUCCAACUUCAGUUGUGGAUGCUACUUCUGAUUCAGUUAUGGCUCUAAAAGCUACCACAAUCAAAGCUAGUUUGUAAAGUGGUUUGAAAAUCUCCACAAAGUUUCUCUAUUGUAGCAGCAUCAGCCACCCUACGGUGCAAAGUGUCUUUACAUUCUUCACAAACUUUCUCUGCCACGGUGUGGAGAAAAGUGUGGUUAGAUUCUUCAUUGAAUGUGUGAGACCAAUCUCCCACGUUGUACGUCUGUGUAUGUCUUGAAUUCAUGGGAUCGAUGUAAAGAACCCGUAACGCUGAAUUCAAGUAUAAGAGCUAACGAAAGAAGCACAAGACUAAGGUGUCUAUUACAGAGCAUAUAGGACUUGUUUAUAUUGGUGAAACCUAUAACAGAAAAUAGGAAAUGCUUUUGAAAUUUGAAAAUUAAGAAAAGUAAGAAACCUAUUGAAGAAAGGAAAGCAUCCCAAAAAACACCAAACAGAAAACUUGAUGAAAGACAAGGACCGGCUGAUUUUGGUUUGGUUUAUUCGGGUUUAAAAAUAAAUUGGACCUGUUGAUUUGCAUCCAAUUGCUUAAACCAUCCCUUUGUUUCUUGUUGCUAAAACUUCUAGGUCAUGGUUCGUUAGUCGUUACUAUCUGGAACAGAGAUCGUCUGAGUUUCUCUAGAUGAGUAAGAAUCUCAUUCAUAUUUUGGAGUUUGUCCAGAAGAAACUAAACUUCAACAGAUCUCCCCAGGCCUUUCCCGAGAAACGAUAUAGGACUCGAUUUUUGAGUCAAGAACCCUAAUUAAUUAUCCCUCCAUUUCCAUCUCCAAAUGAUGCAGAGUCAUGUCUUGUGUUUCUUCAUCAGUCAGCAAAGUCUGUCUCUGUUUCCUCAUUAGCUGCAUCAUGGGCCUGUUUGUUUCUCCAUAUGUCAUCUCCUGAUCCAUCUAUAUGAUCCAUCUAGAUGAUCCAUCCAGAUUUUAGGAGUUGUUCGUUUCUUUAUCCAGAUGAGCCAUCUAAAUGAACCAUUUGGAUGAAUUUCAUCUUUGUUUUUCAUUUCCAUCCAGAUGAGUGUAAUAAACAAAUUACAAAUAUACCCUUGUUUUGAUCUAAUCAUAUGUUUGAUAUUAAUUUUAACCAUACUAAUUUUUUUAUUUAGUCUAAAAUAUAUUUACACUUAAAUUAUUUUAAAAUUAGCAUUUUGACAACUAUAAAUUUUUAUUUCAUAUUAAUUUAUUUAUUUUUAUUUAAAUUUGCAUUAAAAUUAACUACAACUACAACUUUUAAUAUAACUCAUAAUACAAACUAAAAUUUGAAUAAAAUUCUAAACAACUUAAAGUAGAAAUUCAAAGUGGAAUUUGCGGGAAAAACGCGUUUUUACGGUUUUGGCGAGAAAACGUAAUUUUACAUAUGAUGCGAGAAAAUGCGUUUUUGCGGUUUUGGCGAGAAACCGCAUUUUUACGGUUUUGGCGGGAAACCGUGUUUUAUGGUUUUGGCGGGAAAAUGCAUUUUUGCGGUUUUGGCGAGAAGCCAUGUUUUUACGGUUUGAGCGGGAAAAUGCGCUUUUACGGUUUUUGCGAGAACCAGCGUUUUUACAGUUUUGACAAGAAAACGUAAUUUUACGAUUUUGGCAGAAAAACAUGUUUUUACGGUUUUGAUAGAAAAACGUGUUUUGCGGUUUUGGCGAGAAAAUGUAAUUUUACAGUUUCUGGGAGAAAAUGCGUUUUUGCGGUUUUGGCGAAAAACAGUGUUUUACGGUUUUGACGGGAAAAUGUGAUUUUACGGUUUUUGCUAGAAACCACAUUUUAUGGUUUUGGCUAGAAACCGCACUUUUAUGGUUUUGGCAGGAAAACACGUUUUAUUGGUUUUGACGGGAAAACACAUUUUUGUGGUUUUGGCAGGAAAACACGUUUUUGUGGUUUUGGCAGGAAAACGCGUUUUGCGGUUUUGGCGGGAAAGCAUGUUUUUGCAGUUUUUGCGGAAAAACGCAAUUUUACGGUUCUGGCGGGAAAACGUACUUUUACGGUUUUGUGGGGAAAUACAUUUUGCGAUUUUGGCGAGAAAAUAAGUUUUUGUAAGAAUCUGAGUUUUUACGGUUUUGGCAGGAAAACGUGUUUUGCGAUUUUGGAAGGAAAACGCGUUUUUGCGGUUUUGAUGAAAAAUGUGUUUUGCAGUUUUUGUGGAAAAAAACGUGUUUUGAUGUGAAAGUGCAUUUUUUGUGAUUUUGACGGGAAAAUCUGCUUUGGUGAGAAAGUUCAUUUUUACGAGAACAAUUUUUGCUAAAACUGUAUUUUGUGGUUUUAGCGAAAAAAUGUUUUUUGUAGUUUUGGUGGAAAAAUGUGUUUUUCAUGAGUGACAAAAUAAUAUUAGGUUUAAGUUUGUAAUUUGACAAACUCAUCUACAUGAGUGACAAAAUAAUAUUAGGUUCCAAUUUGGAUUAGCCAGCUGAUUUUCAAAAUUAAGCCUAAAUUUUAAAAAAAUAUUCAGAUGAACCAUCCAGAUGACUUGUAUCUUUAAUGCCAAAACGAACAAAACUCUCAUCUUCAUCCAAAUGGUUCACGUGAAUGGAGAAACGAACAGCCCCCAUUAUGACCCCGAAGCUGAACAGAUCGGCUUCUGUCGUCACGUUCUUCAUAUAAGCGAACUCUGAAUCUCUGAUUAUGUAUAAAGAGAGCGUGUAUGUGUGUGUUUACGCUCAGGAAAAUGGAUCAGUUACGGUUUUGAAAGUUGUACCGGGAGGCUGGAGCUCUAUGUAUCCAUUAUCCAAUUUGCACUCAAAGGCCGACGUAGAAGUUGUGCUGAUUCCUGAAACACCCGGACCAUUAAUUUUAGAAGAUACAUUGAAAUUUUAAAGAUCAACAUUGAGAAAUUUGUAAAAUUACGUCAAACUCUUACAGUAAUUUAAUAGUAAUUGUUUACGAACAGUUUUGGUGAUUUUUAAUUAGUUUUGCUGAAGUUUGUAUGUGUUUUUAGUGACUCAAGACCGUUUUGGUGUUCUUUGUUAUUACUAACUCUAGGAUUUAAGAUUUUUUUUUUUUGAUGAUACAUCUAUUAUCUUAAAAUAUUCUUCGGUGUGUAUUCAGAUGAGGUUUUAAAGUGAUUUGUAUAAAAAUAAUAAAUUCACUGUUAUUCAAAUAUUAAUUUUAAAAAAAUUAUUUAAAAUUAUGUUAUUGAAUUUUAAAGUACUUUAAAAUUUAUUGUUAUUAAAAGUAUUUUAAGUUGUGAUUUUUAUAAGUUUUCUGGUGAUAUUCUAGUGAUUCGGUGGAGUUUUGUAGUUAAAAAUAAAAAUCUUUUAUGAUUUUAGGUGAGACUCAAAGUGGUUUAACAGAAUUCAUAGUAAAUCCUUUAGUUCAUCUAAAACUCAUUAAGUUUAAUCCCUUAUAUAAAAGAAUGAGAUAUAUGUAAUAUAUACACUGAUUAGUCUUAAUAGCUAACAUGCCGAAUGGCCGUUUGACGUAAAAAAAAAAAAAAUAGCUAACAUGCCUAAAAGUAGCAAUGCAAACUUGAAGCAUUAGAAUAAGAGAUCGAGUGGGGACUGGAACGGAAGGAGAGACCGAGCGGGGACUGGAACGGAAGGAGAGACCAGAGAAAAGCUGAACAAACGACAAAUAGAGCAAGCAAGAAAUUAAUUCUUCAUGCUGAUAAUUUCUCUCAAGAAGCAGAGAAAGCCCACUAAUCUGAGUUGGGACACUUGUCCGAAACAAAGAUCUGGUUUUCUUUUGAGCGGAACCUUGUGGUCGGGUGGUAGUGGAUGGGCUUGGGCUGCAAAUACGUUUCUCGGUUCAAUCUUCAUGUUGAACGAAAUUAAGUCACAUUGUUCUGGUCAUCUAAGACAGAUAUGUAAUAGAUUAUUCUGAAACCUUACUACCUCCUCUUGAAGGAAAGUGAACCGCAAAGCACAACAAAACGAAACGAAAGGAACAACAUCACCACUCUGAAACCUUACUACCUCCUCUUGAAGGAAAGUGAACCGCAAAGCACAACAAAAUGAAUAGAUUAUUCUACAUGUAAUUGCUAAAGUGAGAAUCAAAUUCAGGACAACAAGCAACACCAAAUCAAAAAAUGAGGGGAGAUGAGAUAACAAGAAUUGAGGUCGAAGAGACUUGAAUUUGGAGGGAGCUCCCUCCACCCUACAGUAAGAGACCCAUAUGACAUGAGUCACAAGCCAACCCCACACCAAAUAAGCCUUCCAGUUAGAUGGCCAAAAGUUCCAUUAAAGGUCUCGUCGGUGAUAUACGAAGCCUUGCUAAAUUUGGGAGAACUUUUUUGAAUCCGGAAAUAGAGAGGGAGGAGAAAUUGUUGCUGUUACUACAGAACCAUCCCUCGUCGUUUUCGAGAUCUCUAUUCUUGAAACAAACUCACCCAAGACUGCAGAGAUAGAGUUAUCAACAUGAACCAGACAUGGACAGACUCAGGUAGACCUUAGGUGGGGCAAGUGCCACACUGAUUUUAUAAUUACUUCAAUAAUAACCUAUAAUUUAAGUAAAUGUCCCUAAUCAAAAUAUAUUUUAUAAUAUACACCCUAUAUUACAUAAUGUGAUGGAUCCACCCCUGGAAACAAAUGGGGGACAUGGCAUCACCGAGAGAAACUUACCCCGAAAAGGAAGAUGGACAUGGUGGGAGAAGAUGGAGCCCUCUCACAGCGACAAUCAGCGCCAGAGAGACAAAAUGAAGAACUAUGGUGAGACUCAGAGAGAUAAGGUUUGUGAGAAAAAAAUUGGAGGCGUGUACAUGUGCGUGAAUAUCCGUGUGGCAUGCUAUUUUUCCAAAAUAUAAUUUAUUUUAAAAUUAAAAUGAUGAAGAGAGAGGUAUAGGAAGGAUCCAAAAAACAAAAGAAACAGACUUAUUGGUUUAUCAUGAGAAUCCUACAUAUUUGAAACAGAAAGACAAUGAAAUCUUUUCUUUAUUACACAAAUCUCAGAUUAGUUAUUCAAUAAAAGCUUUGAAAGAACGAAUACUACUACUACUUCUGCUUUCCCUUGUCAUCCGAGGCCGAGGGAAUUGAUGGAGAUGAGCAAUCCUGUUUCUUCACAUCAGAAUUGUCUAUCAUCUUUAGCACAGCGUUGAGUAAACUACCCACAAGCUUUUCCUUUUCAAGGUAUUUUUUCCAUGGUUGUUAUCUCUCCACCCAAAAAUGUAAGAUUUACAUAUAUAGAUUUUAAAUAUUGACAAGCUAUGGAUUUUACCCACUUUUAGACAUGGUUUAUAAGUGCUUUAAUAACUAAUUACUACGAUAUAGAGUAUAUUUAGAGUUUACAGGUUCAGUGACGAUUUGGAGGAAAGUGGUGAUUAUGGUGUCUUUUGGAGCCUUUUGAGUGCAGAGCUGCAUAGACGCGUCAGAGGUUUACCUAUGGAUGAAGACCUUUCCACCGUUAGAUUGAUCGCAUCUUUUAACAGAAUAUAGAGCUUUCAGUUAGCUUUCCAAUGCCGCCGGUUUGAGGUCAAUGAGCAUCCUGUAGCAGACGUUAUGUCCGAUUUACUGAAGAGUGGUCAGUCCGCCUCGCGAGAGGAACCUGUCGAGGAGAUGAAGGAAAAUCGAUCGAUGGUGAACCCCUGGCAUCGAUCGACAUUGUUUCCAGAACGUGGGCCGAGUAUAUUUUAUGACUAAUUUAGUCCCAGAAGUUACCACAAAUUACCAAAUUAUCCAUGCACAACUAAAAACCAUAUUUUACUGUUUCUAAGCCAUUGUCGACGGCUAUGCUUCAUACUAUUCUAGAGAGAGAGAGCUUAGGAUUGGAGAGAGACAUAUGUACACUUUGAGAGAGGGAAGAUCUUGAACUCCAUUUGUUUCUUUACUCUAUUAUGUUUUUAUUUAUCUAUUGCAGUAUUAUUCAGACCAUCAUAACCAUGUCUCUUAUGAAUAUGUCUGAGUAGUCUUAUUGUUAGAUUUAGGUUUCUCAUAAGGUUGAUUUAUGUAUUGCUAAUAUGAACUGUUGCUAGGGUGUUUUAAAAUAUAUUUCUUCAUCUAGUUGCUUUUAAUGCUAAGUUUAGGAUUGAUCACACUUUAACUUAGAUCCUAGGAUUAAUUGAGACAAGCAAUAACUUGACUCAAUACCUGAAACUAAACUAGUAUGAUCUAACUGACUAGAUACACACGAAAGUUAGUCUGGUAAGUUAGAGAACACUAAUCAAACCCGCUCGUAAAGCUUUCUAGAAGAAGCAUCGAUCGAUGCGACAAUUAUUGUGUCGAUCGAUAUUUUGAAAGAUGUAUCGAUCGAUAUUCUUUAAGAAUCAUCGAUCGACACUUUUUCUUGAUUGAUA